rnacentral:rRNA from 1 species
CAGUGGGGAAUAUUGGACAAUGGGCGAAAGCCUGAUCCAGCAAUGCCGCGUGAGUGAUGAAGGCCUUAGGGUUGUAAAGCUCUUUUACCAGGGAUGAUAAUGACAGUACCUGGAGAAUAAGCUCCGGCUAACUCCGUGCCAGCAGCCGCGGUAAUACGGAGGGAGCUAGCGUUGUUCGGAAUUACUGGGCGUAAAGCGUACGUAGGCGGUUAUUCAAGUCAGAGGUGAAAGCCCGGGGCUCAACCCCGGAACUGCCUUUGAAACUAGAUAACUUGAAUCUUGGAGAGGCGAGUGGAAUUCCGAGUGUAGAGGUGAAAUUCGUAGAUAUUCGGAAGAACACCAGUGGCGAAGGCGACUCGCUGGACAAGUAUUGACGCUGAGGUACGAAAGCGUGGGGAGCAAACAGGAUUAGAUACCCUGGUAGUCCACGCCGUAAAC